rnacentral:rRNA from 1 species
AGAGUUUGAUCCUGGCUCAGGAUGAACGCUAGCGGCAGGCCUAACACAUGCAAGUCGAGGGGUAACAGAGAUAGCAAUAUCUGCUGACGACCGGCGCACGGGUGAGUAUCGCGUAUGCAACUUACCUCUAACUAGGGAAUAGCCCGAAGAAAUUCGGAUUAAUACCCCAUAAUAUCAUAAAAUCACCUGGUUUUAUGAUUAAAGCUCCGGCGGUUAGAGAUGGGCAUGCGUGCCAUUAGCUUGUUGGUAAGGUAACGGCUUACCAAGGCUACGAUGGCUAGGGGGUCUGAGAGGAUGGUCCCCCUCACUGGUACUGAGACACGGACCAGACUCCUACGGGAGGCAGCAGUGAGGAAUAUUGGUCAAUGGACGCAAGUCUGAACCAGCCAUGCCGCGUGCAGGAAGACAGCCCUACGGGUUGUAAACUGCUUUUCUUUUCACGAAACUUUCCUACGUGUAGGAAACUGACGGUAGAAUUGGAAUAAGCAUCGGCUAACUCCGUGCCAGCAGCCGCGGUAAUACGGAGGAUGCAAGCGUUAUCCGGAUUUAUUGGGUUUAAAGGGUGCGUAGGCGGAAUAAUAAGUCAGUGGUGAAAUCUUGCAGCUUAACUGUAAAAUUGCCAUUGAUACUGUUAAUCUUGAAUAUAGUUGAGGUAGGCGGAAUGUGUAAUGUAGCGGUGAAAUGCUUAGAUAUUACACAGAACACCAAUUGCGUAGGCAGCUUACUAAGCUAUUAUUGACGCUGAGGCACGAAAGCGUGGGGAGCGAACAGGAUUAGAUACCCUGGUAGUCCACGCUGUAAACGAUGAUCACUCGCUGUUGGCAAUAAAUCGUCAGCGGCUGAGCGAAAGCAUUAAGUGAUCCACCUGGGGAGUACGUUGGCAACGAUGAAACUCAAAGGAAUUGACGGGGGCCCGCACAAGCGGAGGAACAUGUGGUUUAAUUCGAUGAUACGCGAGGAACCUUACCUGGGCUUAAAUGCAGAGCGACGAUCGCCGAAAGGUGAUUUCCUUCGGGCGAUCUGCAAGGUGCUGCAUGGUUGUCGUCAGCUCGUGCCGUGAGGUGUCGGGUUAAGUCCCAUAACGAGCGCAACCCUUAUCGUUAGUUACCAGCGAGUCAUGUCGGGGACUCUAACGAAACUGCCGGUGUAAACCGAGAGGAAGGUGGGGAUGACGUCAAAUCAGCACGGCCCUUACGUCCAGGGCUACACACGUGUUACAAUGGCCAGUACAAAGGGCAGCUACCAGGCGACUGGAUGCUAAUCUCUAAAGCUGGUCUCAGUUCGGAUCGAAGUCUGCAAUUCGACUUCGUGAAGUUGGAUUCGCUAGUAAUCGCGCAUCAGCCAUGGCGCGGUGAAUACGCUCCCGGGCCUUGUACACACCGCCCGUCAAGCCAUGGAAGCUGGGGGUACCUGAAGUCCGUAACCGUAAGGAUCGGCCUAAGGUAAAACUGGUAACU